UACGUAGGGGGCAAGCGUUGUCCGGAAUCAUUGGGCGUAAAGAGCGUGUAGGCGGCUCGGUAAGUCCGCUGUGAAAGUCCAGGGCUCAACCCUGGAAUGCCGGUGGAAACUGUCGAGCUAGAGUCCGGAAGAGGCGAGUGGAAUUCCUGGUGUAGCGGUGGAAUGCGCAGAUAUCAGGAGGAACACCAAUAGCGAAGGCAGCUCGCUGGGACGGUACUGACACUGAGGCGCGAAAGCGUGGGGAGCGAACAGG
rnacentral:rRNA from 1 species